rnacentral:rRNA from 1 species
UACAGGGGGUGCUAGCGUUGUUCGGAAUUACUGGGCGUAAAGGGCGCGUAGGCGGUUUUGCAAGUCAGAAGUGAAAUCCUGGAGCUUAACUCCAGAACUGCUCCUGAUACUGUAAGGCUAGAGUGUAUUAGAGGAUGGCGGAAUUCCUGGUGUAGCGGUGAAAUGCGCAGAUAUCAGGAAGAACACCCGUGGCUAAGGCGGCUCUCUAGUACGGUACUGACGCUGAGACGCGAAAGCGUGGGGAGCGAACAGG